rnacentral:rRNA from 1 species
UACAGAGGGUGCGAGCGUUGUUCGGAAUUAUUGGGCGUAAAGAGCUCGUAGGCGGUCUGUCGCGUCGGUCGUGAAAACUUGGGGGCUUAACCCUGAGCUUGCGGUCGAUACGGGCAUGACUGGAGUUCGGUAGGGGAGACUGGAAUUCCUGGUGUAGCGGUGAAAUGCGCAGAUAUCAGGAGGAACACCGGUGGCGAAGGCGGGUCUCUGGGCCGAUACUGACGCUGAGGAGCGAAAGCGUGGGGAGCGAACAGG